GCUGUGGACAUCCAGUUUUGCUAGCUCCAGCUGAUGGCUGCAGCCCACAGCUCGUGCUGUGUCCAGAGCAAUGUGAUGCUCUAGUGAUCCUGUCUGGCAUUCCUGUCACCCUGACGCCUGGGCCAGCACAUGGAGGGCCUCCCAAGGCCACCUGGAGACAUUUUGUGGGAAACAGGAUUACUUUCAUACCAACCUUUGAAUCUACAAAGCACAGGGGACUGCUGGACAGUCACGGGACACGCACCCCACGUGGGCAUUCAGAUGGGGUGCCUGAAACAAACGAGGUAUGGGAUGUGUGCACAUAUCCCAUGUCAGCCAGCCCCUCCUUGUGCUGGAUGCAGUAGUGUAAGGGGCUGUGUGGUGUGAAAGUUUCAGAGGGAUGGAAAAGAGAAGAAGGACAGGAGGUAAGCACAUGCUCAUGCUGCGUGCAAGGUGUCCCAGAGGAUGCUGUUCUGUACUUCCCAGUCACAUGUGGCCAUCCAGAAAGAGCUGAGUCAGUGUGCUCGAGCACUCCUGCUGCCGGCAGGAGCAGCUCUGCUGGAACAGCACCGGUGACAUGAGUCAGUCAGUCCUUUCCUGAGUGAAAGGUAAGUGCAAAAGCAACACGCUUUGGUUUUGAUAUGAAAUGUAGCAGCAGUUUGAUCUAGCAUCACUUGAAUGGGGUGGCCCCCAUAGUGCAAGAAGAAUGCCAGAAAUGUGUUUGCAACUGCUCCAAAAUUCCAGCCCACUUGCACAAAGACUGAGCCCUGAAGGGGCGGACAGGCUUUGAGAUCUCAAAUGACAAGUUCCCUCCUUGGGUUCAGCAAGAGCUGCGGCUGGCAAGAGGGAAAGAGCCAUCACUCUCCCAUAUUAAGCAAGAAACUUCAGAGACUGCAGAAAAAUUGCAAAUUUUCUUGUAGAUUCUUGUAAGUUCUUGAAAAUCCAGCAAUGCCUGGAUAAAAUGCAGGUGCUCGGUAACUCAGGUGCUGUGAUAUUGCAGCUGCUCCACGUCCCAGAUCCUUGCUGGGACUGCAGUAAAACUGAAUAGUAACUCUGACAUGUCCUGGCAGUGACUGUGAAGUGAAAAGGCUUUGGCAGACAAGUCCUCGAUUGCCCCAGUUUUCUCAGACUCAAAUAGGUUAUUGUCCUUCUUUCCUCUCUGAUGCUAACAAGUUUCCCAUAUAAAAACCCUUCCCCCUUGGAUGCUGGGGCACUGACUCCAGAGCUUGCAAGACCAGAAAAGUGGUCUGCUGCUGAAUCACAGUCAGCCUUCUACAAACAGUUGCUUAUAUAGGAAAGGAGCAGGGUAAGUGGAGACUGGGAGAUCUGGGAACUGGGCAAAGUACUGAGGGAACACCCCUUGGCCCAGGGUGAUAGAAAGGGAUGAUAGUUGCUGCAAGCUCUAGAAGUGUACAAUAUUCACACUAUUCCACCUUUUGUAGGAUUUCAGAGCAACCAUGAUCAGAAGUCCCUAGAGAAUGGAAACACUAUUGAUCCUGGCACUGAGGAGUCCCACUGCCUCAGAAUACAAGGGAGUGGGAUUACUCCUUCAGCAGUGAUUUAUGGUCAUUGUGGCAGCCACCAAAAUAUAUGUUUGUGAAGAACAGUAGGGCAGCAAUUAUCUACUUAAGGCAGUAGCCACUGUAUAGCUGCCCAAACCCCUCUCAGGUUUUACCUCAUCUUUCUUCAGGACUUCCUUUGUCCAUAACACAGGACUCCUAAUUCUUCCUGUAUCAGGAGAGGACAGUGAGAAGCAGAGGAUGCUCCACCUGAACAACCUGCAGAAGAGGACCAACCAGAGCUCUCACUCACUGACUUUUCACUCCCACUUUCCCAGGCAGCAUAGUGCCUGGGACUGAGCAAAGGACAGACUGCAGAACAGUGAAGGAGCCAGCAUGUCAGUCCAGUCACUGAUUGCCAAACCCUCCUUCCAGGAAGAUGACUGUGUGGAUCUCCUGAAGGAAAAAGUUCAACCAUUUGUAGUGGAAAAGUAUGGCCUGAAGGGAUCAAAAUAAGCUACAGCAGCUACUUCUGCAGCCAGAGCAGAAGGGAACUGAGCAGCAUGUUCUACUUGCCGGGUGUACCCAGGGUGACCAUAACUGUGGGAAAGUUGUCUCAGAGACAGAGACUACAGAUCUGCAGAAGGACUGGAGAAGAGGACCACCCUUCCCAUUCCUGCCCAGCUAGUGACUAGUCUGCUUUCUAGGCAGCUGACAAGGUAAGAGGAAAUAAUUCUGUAGUAAGAGCUUUGGGACAAAUGCCAACUUGCCUCUAGACAGAAGGUUAAAGGUUAUUUAUGUGAUUAACACAAAAUCUUAUUUGGGGCACUUCAUGUUCACAGGGCAGUUUAAGGAGUGCCAGGACUGACUUGAAAACUGAUGUGGCAUUUGUGAAAGGAAAAAAAAAUCUAAGUGCCAAUUUUACUUGAAACAUAAUUGGAUUUGCAGCAAAUACAUUCCAGACAGCAGUAAGACAAUCAAGGCUAUCAGUAUACUUAGUAACUUAUCAAAUUAGCAUUAUUACAAGUUACUUCUUGUUUUGUUUUUUUAGCUUUUAAAAGAUUUUUUUUCCUAUGGACUUUCCUUCCUAUUGAUUAUUGAAGUGCUCUAGUCUAAGUUAGCCUCUCUCUCUCUCUUCUCCUAACACCCCACUCCUCGAACACUUCUUUGAUAAGAUAUGCACAAGAAAAAGAUCCAGGUACCUUCCCCUCAAAACCCUGCUUGGCUUUACAGGACAAGAGCGGCAAAAAGGAUGAAAUAUAAAAGGGCCUAAACCCAGUACAACUGCAUUGGUCCCGUGUUAAAAGCUGAAUAGUGUAGUAUAAAGCACAUAUAAAAUGAGAAAGGAAUGAGUGUUUUGUACUCUGUGGGUAGUUCGCGGUCU